rnacentral:Y_RNA from 1 species
GGCCGGUCCAAAGGUAGUGAGUUGUCUCAACUGACUGUUCAGAGUCAGUUACAGAUUGAACUCCUUGUUCUACUCUUCCCCCCUCCCACUACUGCACUUGACUAAAA